rnacentral:lncRNA from 1 species
AUCAUAGAGUGUAAGAGAAAGUUUGUAAAAAUAUACUGUUUUAAAAAAAUUGUCAAGAACACAUAUAUUUGGUAAUUCUGUGUAACAUGAGAGACAUGGAAAAGGGAAAAAAAACCCACUAUGUCAUGGGCUUUGCAGACCAUUUCAAAAUCAGAUUUCUUUAUUACCUGGAUCCCCAGCUCAUGCACGCUAAGUGUGGAGUCUCAUCUGUAAAAAAAAAUCGCCUUUAAAACUCAAAAAUAAGUCAUGUGUCCCAGCAUAAGGCAUUAAGGCUUUGAGAUGCUGGACAUCUCUGCAGCUCAAAGAUGUGGCUUCUUUUUCCUGUCGUUAACAAAUUGUUCCUGUAGGAGCAACUUCUCUGAUCGAAAUGACUUCAUUGAGUAUAUGCUGGUUAAUGCAGUAGAGUUAACAACACUAUCAUUGUUUUCUCACUACAAAAGAUUCUGCAAAGAUGUUUAUGAUGAUGUUUAAAGUCUAUAAAACUCUAACUACAUUUAAACAAGUAUCUUAUAUUUGGGUCCAGAGGAAAAAAGAGAACACUUUUAUCAUGGGGCUGUAGUAGAGGGUUUAUGGAAUAAAGACAGGACUCUGAAGACACAACUUCCAACAGUUUUCCUAGUUAGUAAAAAUCCUAUUAAUGUGAACCAGCCGGGAAUAACAGUGUUAUUUCUAUUUGAUAUGGUUUGGUCUUCUCUUGUCAAAUCUGUGUCGGCUGCCCUCUGAUCCCUCCAUUAUCAAGUUUUGAAAGGUGUUGGGGAAAUUAUGGCAGCUGCUAGGGAGAUCAGGGAAACACUGAUGUAACCUCACAGCCUCUCACCAUUCCUCUUGGCUUGGAAAGGCUGUUUUUUCCAUAUACAUUUCUAGAAAUAUUGCUAUUCUACCUUAGUAUUUCACAUUUGUAGUUUAAACAAGCGAUUGUCCAUCUGUUGCCUAGAGCUACAGUACAUGUGUGUUAUGAAUGAAAUAUGACAGCAUGUUCCAUACCCUGCUUUAGCCAUCUGUAGGAACCCAGUAGGCUGAAAAAGAUAUACCUCUGCAAAAUGUGUCUCAAGUCCGUUUCCUGAGAUAGCUCUUUUGGUGCACUUUCAUAGGAAACAGUCAGAGAGCAGUAUAUUUGUGCCUUAUCUUGAAAGCAUCUUUACACUACUAUGAAUACUUCCCUGAAGAGUCUAGAACAUAAAUAUCAAUCCCCAGAUCUCAAAGAUGUACUCAUCAUCAAAAAGUCAAACAAAAUCCAGAGAAGUCUGAACUCUUCAUCUUAAUGCAUUCUAAUAGGAUUUCUUUUCUCCUGGUCUCUUGGAAGUACCUUAUUAAUUCUUAAAUUAGGAAAACAUUCUUAUGCCACAAGAUGACGUAUUGAAUGUUGGUGGUGGUUACGUUUGGUCUUACGCUGGUUUUAGUCAGAUAAUGAAGACAGAGACUUCCACCUGAGCCUCUAACACACAUCCAGCACAUCCACCUCUUUUAAUUGCCAUCGUUUUUUGGUUUGUCUUUUUUUUAAUCUAAUAGUGGACAGAAUAAGUUGAGAAUCCUGGUUCUGAGUCUUUAUUAUGGUGCAGCCAUGAACAUUUCAGGUUGAGUUAUUUCCUUGACAGAUAACUUUUCUCAUGAGGCUGUUGUUUGGUUAGCAUGUUAUUCAAACCUUUGAAAAAUGAUCUGAUUAAAGCUGCGUGACUAGGUGAGAAUUCUUUCUCUUUCUUUCCCUCCUUUUCUCCCUCCUUCCUUUCUUACCCUCUUUCCUCCCUCCCUUUGUUCCUUCUUUCCAUCCUACCUAGUAGUGCGAUCCUGCUUGUACUUUUCAUAAAUAAAUUAAAUCAAUGCAUUAUGAUCCUUAUGGAACUAUGAUCAUAUAACAGAAGAAGGCUACUGCAAAAUACAUGCAGCAUCCAUAAAUCCUUCCUUUAAAAGGGCAUAUUUUCCAGAUUGUGUUUAUUCAUAAAGUGAGAUGAGAUAAUAGGGUUUUUCAGUUUCAUUUUAAUGAGUUUUCAUCAGGGACUCAGAUUAUAGAGUUCUUGGCAAAUUCAUUUAUGACUGUCCUACUUUUCCCCACUAUAUGCAAAGUGAUCUUUCUAAGACUAGGUUAAGAUUCUUUUUUUAAAUCCAAAGCAUUUUGACCAACAAAACAAUCAUAUAUUUAAGUGGUGGCAUUUUAUUUUAUUCCAGUGAAACUUGGUAAUUUUCCUUAUGGCAAAGAAAAACUAUUAUCUUUCCAAAAUUUUUACACAUAUCAGCAUUUUGCCCACGGCAGUAAUGUUAAAUUCUAAUGCUUGAAUUACAGUAUUUUACACGGGGUAGAUUAGCAUCAGGGUUUUUCCUGGAGAACUGGUUACAAGCCUCUAGUCUGUUUAUAAAAAGCAACUUGAGAAAAACAAGUCUCUCAGUAAAGCAUUUUGUUAAAAUUUGGGUCUGAGAUUCUUUUGAACUCUGGCUAAUACUGAUAAAAAUAUGCCAUCUGUGUCCAUUUUUUAAAAUUUGUCUGAAAAACACUUAUAAUUCUAGGAAUAUAUUUACAUUUUUGGUUUCUAUUCUCACUUCCAUUUUCUAUAAGUUUCACGGGGUUGACACUGACUUUCCUUUCUGGGAGGGUCACGUAUGAGGAGAGUAAAACAUCCUUACUGAUAUAUACUUAAUUCAAUACAGAAAUGCAUUUGCCAAGAAUUAAUGCUCGUCUCAGUGAGUUUGGGAUUUGGUAUUCAGACAGUUUUUCUUUUUAACCUGUCUCCAAGAAGAGUGGGCUUCCGGAGGGAAAGGAGGAAUUUGAGAGAAGGGGCAGUCUGCAAUGAAAACAACUGCAGGGGAGUCCUUAUAAAGUGUAACUCUGAGAAGUUUCAUAGAGGUUUUAGGGAUCAGCAAUUGUAGUUGUUUAAACAAGUAAAAUAUUUACAUUUCCAAGUUUAUCAGGUGUUUAAAAAUCACUGUGGAUAAUGAUAUAGUUUUCCCUUGUCUGAGAGGUAAAGUAAGAGCUGCCGCUGGGCCCCAUGGCAUGGCCAUGACUACACCAGAACUUUUCUAAUGCAUGUCCUUUCAUCCCCUCUGGGAGAGGGGCAUAGCUCAUUCUCUUUGUGACAGACAGUGAUACAUGUUCUCACAUAUUCUUACACAAGCUGCACUACACCCUAAGCAUCUCGGAGGGUUAGAGGUUUUCAUUUUCACACAUCCAGUGUUUUCUCUCUUUCCAAUGUACUUACCUGGUGAGCACAGUAAGGAAGAGAUUUUUUGGUCUGCAGUUCUCUUGUUUAAAUUCAGUCAUCCACUUUCUGUAAUGUCUUGCCUAAAUAAUUAUUCUAUAAUUGAUCUGUACUAGUUUUCUCUUUUUUAGUUGCAAGCACAGCAAACUAACUUUAUCUUACUAAGUUUAAAGAAAAAUAAAUAUGAAAUGGAAAAGUUUUCCUUCGGUAUAGAAAGGAAUGAUAUUUUUUCCUUUCUCUAUAUUCCUUUCCUGGUCCUUGUACAAAAAAUUGUAGACUUAACUUUAGUUAUCCAACAUGCAUGUGGCUUAUUUUGUGGAAAGUUCUGUGAAAGAUGUGUUUGUAUUAAACUCAUGGACGUUUCCUCCUUGAAGUUUUAAAAAAAGUUGCUAAAAAUCUUUGCUGUUUUUUCCUGAUUGUUAUUUAAUUAGCAGCAGUAUCUAACCACACUAAUAAAUAUCUCUAUUUCCAGCCUUUGUUAUAAACAAAAUUAAUGUUCUGCAAGCAAAGAGUUAUAUACUAGAAAGAGGAAGAAACCUUACAACUAAUUCCUUUGUAGUACUUUAAGGUGCUUGUCUUAAUCCUUCCUUACUGUAUGUCUUCAUUAAUUUUUCCAAGAUCCAUCUACUUAGGGCAAGAGAAAAACUUAAUCAUCUAACUCUGAUAGAUAUUUAACCAAUUUACUCAAACAAAAGCUUUACUAAACAACUCACAAAUACAUUCAGUCAACUUGGCACUGAACGUAGCUUCUAAUUCAGUUCUCAACCCCAGGAGGAGAAUGAUGUACCAAGAAUGAGACAGGUAUUGUUAUGCCAUCUUGUGUUCUACACCAGUGUAGAGGUGCUCUUCCUAGACAAACAUAGAAUCAGAGGCCCUUUAAGGAUCUGGAUCUCCUCCGUUAUUUUCCUGACAAGUCACCAUCCCACAUCUUAGACUUGGCCGAUCUGUUGUACUGUUCACAGCAGUCCGUUCUACCACUGGGCAGCUCUUUCUAUGAAAGUUCUUCCUCAUGUUAAACAAAAAUCUGGCUCUACAGCUACAUAAAACUAGUCUAAUGUCUAAAUCUUUGCCUCUAGGUCAGCUGUCUCUAACUCUUUCAACUUUUCCUCACUUACUGACGUAGUUCAAGUCCAAUCAUCCUUCUGCUGCUUCUUUGAACAGCUGGACCCAAAAAUAUUUUCUAAUUUUAUUUCAAUCUACUUGCUGAAACUUAGCAAUCGCUUUGGGUCAGGCUAGGUGAAAACACAUUCUUGGGGCUGAAAGUAAAUGGAAUUGGAAUCACCCAAAGGAAACUGAUGUUCAAUGUAGAAAUUUUCCCCGAGGACUCACAUCCAGAAGGGUGAAAGUUAGAUGAAGACAGAUCUCCUGUGUGUACAAAACAGUCCUCCUACCUUGUGUCCUGUGCUGUUUUUGAUGUUGCCAAAAUCAGUCAUUCUGAAAACAGGAAGCAAGCUAAUACAUAUACCAUCCAUUAGAUUCCCACUUCUUGGUAAAUGUUCUUAAAGUCUCUUCAACCUUUCCCCUUUGUCCCUCUCUUCUCAAGAAUAAGACAUUUCUUGUGCUGUUUCCAUACUGAAUAUGCAAAAAGAGUCAUGCCUGGGCACUUUAUAGGUUCUGUAUAAAUAUUUACUGGCUGAUUGGUUUUGAGAUUCACUUCCAUUUUCCUGUGCUCAAAUGUUUGUACCUAGAGAUCUUGCGCUUUAGACCAAGUGAGCAGCUUCCCUACAUGAUCAAUUAGGAACUAUCCUUAGGAGUCCAUAUUUUCUAUUUUGUUGUUCUAACAUUUUUAUCCUUUACUCAUCACUUCAAUUUAACAAUUGCUGUAAGAGAAUCAGCCUCUAAGUAACCUUGAUUCAGGCCAACUGCAAUAAGAUUAAACAGGCUUAAUCUGUACUCUAUAGAAAGGAAUAUGUCAUUGGGAAGAGGAAUUCUUUCCAGUAGCGUCAGUAAAGGCUUCAUGGAGGAGUGAAAUUUGCUAAGAAAUCUUGAAGUGACUAAUUGAAGUUGAAGGAAAAUAUUUAAGGCACCAAAGACAACAGGAAACACACUAUAUUCAGAGAAGACUCUCUGCUUUAAGUAUCACAGAUCCUGGCAUUUCCUUAACAGGAGAAAAGGCUUCCAGAUAUUCAGAGUCAAUGGGAAGGAAAAGGCAUAGGAAAAGGCUAAUUCAAUUAUUUGCUUUCUCAUCUCUUUAUAACUGGACAAUAAGAUGAGCUUCCAAAAUAUAAUCCAACACAUACAAUAUGAACAAGAAACUUUAUUUAUAACAUACAAAACAUACAUUCUUAUUGACUUAUAGCUACAUACUCUACUCUUGGAAUAAACACACUAGUCUUUUGAACCCCUACAAGAGACCAGCACGGUACUCUUAUUUUCCUAUUACUUCCAGGUCCACAAUUGGAAAGGACUCCACCGUCAUCUAUUCCACUUGGUGUUAAAAUUCUCUUGCAGAUUCAUUGAUAAGUAAAAAAAUCCAGACUCUGCUUAAACAUCACCUGCAUCAAGGAGCUCAUUACUUCUUAACGUCUUCCGUUUUCUCCAUCACACUUUGUUCUAAGCCUCCCCUGACUUUGAAACAGAACCAGCCUUUGAGCCUUAUGUUUUCCUUGGUGCCACACAAAACCAGUCUUUAGAACAUGAUAAAAUGUUGCUUCCUCCCUCCACUUUCCUUCCAAAUACAUUUGUUUCAUUUUUGACAACACAUUUCUUUAAAAGAAAACUUUGAUUUUUAGCUGAAGAUUAUAAAAAUCUUUAAACAUCCUUAAAAAUUGAAGGAUUUUCUGAGGGGCACGUUUUAGAGUUCAUGCGUUUUUUAUAGUUGUUUUUACUUUCUUACUCAAAAGACGAACUGUUCUGACAGUUGCUACAUAGCUUUAUGCCUUCCCCCAGUAACUAACCCAUGAACAGUACACUCCAGUUAUCUGGCUUGCUGAUAAUGACCUUAAAAUGUUGGGAAAUGUCAGUGUGUGAUCUCCCCCGCUAACAAGGGAAAAGUCAAAAGGAAAAGGUAGUGGUUCUGUUGAAACUCAUUCCUUCUGGCCAGUUUUUCAGUGCAAAAGGAAAUCAUUCUUCAGGGAAAGGGUUAUGUUAUGGUUUUAUGUAGAAAUGUGUAGAUCCUUUUAUUAUUGCCCUAGGUUACUAGUUAGUACCAAUACUAUUCCUUGGUCUUUGGGAGGACAAGUCUUGUGGCUUCUUCCACCCCCGCUUUGAAUUAGAGAGCACUCUGCUCAGAACGUGUCAUCAUUCUCCUGGGCAGGACCUGGGAGUAGCUUUCUAAGCUCUAAAAUAAUAAUUCCUAAGAGAGCUUAAAAACUGCUUUCGCACAUAAAACAGCCCUGGGAGGAAGGUUAUUAAUAGCCCUAUCCUAGAAGAGAAAGCUGAGGCCCAGAAUCGUUAAGUGACUUGCCAAAAGCGAUACAGCUGGUAAGUGGCAGAUUUGGGGAUGCACCCAGGUCUUGCAAGUAUAGUGCUCUCUCCAGUGGCCAUUGUCAGGGCACAAAAUACCUCAGAGCACAAUGUCUGCUUCUCACAGAAUAAAGUGCCCCUGUCCAAAGGUAUCCGGGGAAAUUCGCAUAGACCAUUUAGCAAUCAGGUGGCAAAUCCGUGUGUGCACUGCGGUGCAGAGAUCAUUUGGAACCUGCAUGCAUCUUCUGUGUCCUCUUGUGGAAAACUACAAGGUAUUCUGUCUGAUCAGAAUGUGGUGGGGAUGAAGUCGGUGAGGAAAGGCCACCACUAAGAACAAACAACUGUGGCACUGAAGCACACUGCCACGGAUUUCCCCAGAGACACUUGAUUUACUUUACAUUAACUGAAAAAGUCUGGAACUGUGAAGUUCAGAAUAUCAACUGAGAUCAUAUCAUUUAGAAUGCGGUGGAGUGCAAGGUGACUUGAUCUUUAAGACAAGACUCUCUCCUGUGGGCUAUGAUUUAUGCCCCACAGAGGCAGAAACAGCUAUAGGUAAACAAUGCAUAGUAUUUUCUCUCUCUCAGUUCACAUUUAUUGAGGCCCACUAAGUGUAUGUCACUGCCUCAGGCUUUUCCAAACCAACAACCAGUCCAUGACCUUGAAAUGUCUGUGAACAAAUGCUUUGGGACUGAUUGCCAUUCUGGUCUUUGCCAUUGGCUAGACUGGCUUCCUGGGCUGUUGUAGUUUUGUGAUUUGUGUAUGCCUAUUACAGGGAGUAUGCCUAUCACUGUGUUGUUUCCAGGAUACUUGGAAGUCUCGUAUAUUCUAGAAGCUGCUCUACAGGGCAGUUCAACAACUGGGCAUUCUUUCUCUUGAGCUGCAUCCUUCAGGAGGCUGUGCCUUUUGAUGUGUGCUCUUGGGUUUUUAUUUCCCCCAAUUUCUCAUUAUGGUUGUUGGCUUUAAGUUAAAAUCUGUGAACUGAUUGAAAAAUAUUCUUUCUUCAUCUGAGUUCAAUCUACUUCAGGAGACCUUUAAAAUUAUCUCAACUAGUAAGCUUUCUAAGCAUUUUCCCUCCCUAGAGUGUGCCAUCCAUCAAGCCCAUCUCAUCAUCCAUCUGCUUAUUCCCUGGGAUUAAUGAGGGCCAAGUUAAAUAACAAAUAGCCUCCCACCCCUUUCCCAUCUUUACACCUGGGAAACACAAAAAGUGCCAACGGGGCCAGCAGAGUAGUAAUCUUGGCUGAGAUAGCUACUUCAGAGACUGGAAAGGUGCCUUAUCUUCCUGUGAGGUUUGAUAAAUGUUAUGGCUGUUGGAAUAGAAGACAGUUUUGUAGAAUAGAUGGAGUACCACCACCGAGGAAUGGAUUAAUAGAAGCAGCAUUUUGAGAACUUUUCAGAAUUAUUAGGUGAGUACACCUGAGUAAAGACUGACUUGGGUGGAAUCUGUAACAUCUUAUUAGAAGGAAUAAAAGACAGUGAAUAUGAAAAAGAAGCCCUUUCAAAAAAUGGGAGCCACAAACCCUGAUUUAUCUUUACAUAUGUAAAGAAAAUUAUUAGUAAAAAUUUUCCUCCUCCAUUUUACACAAGAUAGUCCCCCAUAUUUAAGGAAAAUACAAUUGUGUUGUCUUUAAAAUACACACCCGUGCACGUGCAUGCACACAUGCUCGCACGUACACACACAAACAUCUUCCAAGAAAGCUGAUCCUUCAAAAAAGAAAUCUUAUUUUAAAACACUUGGGUUUUUUCAGGCCAGGAAACAAAUAAUUCCUAGACCUGACCCAUUUUUGUGGCUGCCAAAGAGGGAAAGAAAAAGCUGUUUAAAUUUCAUAUGGAUCCAUUUAUCUCUUAAAAUAUGCCAAAGCAAUUUGAGGUGGGGGUGGAAACUAAGGUAUUUCUCUCUCCUGCUUACUUCUCUCUUUAUAUUUCUAUCUGUGGGUUUCGAAAAGGGAAAGAACUAUUGUUGAGCCGUUAUUAUUGAUGCAUUGUUUCACCACUUUGUACAGUGCCUGCUGCUUCAUGCUGAGGCACAGGAAUCACAGUUGCUUUCUCAACUCCAUUUCUCCAUCGUGAGGGAGUAAAUAUUGAACCUGAAUGUCUUUCCUCACCAAAUUAUUCAACUUCAUUUCUGAACUAGUUUAAAAAACGUGAAAUGAGGAGAGCUAGCUUUUCGUGGAUAUGUUUCUCCCUUCUUUCUUGGGAGACAAAUGUGAAGGGGAAAAAAAUUCAGUUCCUUUUCAUCUUUCUCUCUCUGGGUAACAGCUUAUGAUCACUUAGUAAUUAAUGAUAAACCAGAAGUAAGAGAAUCGCUCAGCCAGGUUAUGAUGCAUCUGCCAAUGUGUUCCAUUCAUUCAAACACAGACUUUGAGAGGAAAAGGGAUCUCUAUGAUUUAAAUACCAACAGUGGGAAUGGCCUCAUGUUUUAACUUUCAAAUAGUAAAAGACAAGAUGAUAUUUGGACAGUGUCUGCUUUUUACUAAUCUUAUAUACCUCCGGCUUAGUUUUUAAGUAUAUCAACAUAUCAGGGUAAAAUUGCCAAAAAGAGUUAAAGUGCCUUAGACCUCCCUCACUAGCAAAUUGAAAUUGAUAUAGACCAUUCCAGUCUUCUAACUCAACUGAGGUGUAUCUUUGAUGAAAGAGUUAGGGACCUGGAAACUAAAUCUUAAUCACCAAUAUUGUGUCACGAAGUAGUUGCAAAAUCAUUUUUAAAUGACUUUCUUCGUUUUACUACCCAUUAUUCUCUUGGGAAAGCUGAUGAGCAAAUUAUCCAAAAUUAUUUCCUUAUUAAACAAAGUCAGAAUAAUUCUCCCCCUAAAAAUCUGAAUUAUGCCCUCGUUCUUUUUCAGGAAACAUAUCAAAGAUCAAAUAGAAUUGAAGAUGACACUUGAUUAUCUGAUUCUUUAGAAUGAAUAAAAUUAUCAUGUGAUUUAAUGUGCCUUAAGCAAAAAUUUAAACUUAGAUGCAAAACUUUCACAGCUGGCAAUUGCAUGGAACUUUUCCACGUGAUCUAUGCAAUGAAUUACUUUGUUUUUUGUUUUGUCUUUUAAACUUCACCUUUAUCAUUAGUUUAACAAAUUUGGGGGUCUGUCUCUCCACUGGGAAUAUGUGCAAUUAUGAAACGCACCAAAAAAAGGAAGGGAAAGAACUUUGAGUAGCAAAUCGGUCCCAUGAAGUAGACGUGACACGAAGAUGCAGAGGCUGAGGAUAGUAAUUUUCUCAGAGCCGCACACACGAGCUUUCAUUUCAUGGCUUUGUCACAGGCUUUUCUCCUUCUGUGCUGUCACCUUUGAGAAAAACGAUUGCACCUUCUCCAAGUCUGCCUUUUUAGCAGCUACACUUGAGUUGGCAAGACUUCCCCCGUUCUGAAUAUAGCCAUUUGCCGACUCCGGCCUCUUUGCGAGACUGACUCAAAUCUGUGAUCUUCUCUUCAGCAUACACAUCAGCAAAGUGAGAAGAUGAGCACUAAAUAUAGGCUCUAUUAACUUUACUUUUAGAUUUACUGCCUUCAAAAAGUGCCUAUUCUGAGAAACAUAGACGUUAUUCCUACAUAUGUAUGUACACACGGUACCCAGAGUCACACUGUGCAGAGAUAAAGAAACCUUGCCAAAUGGAAGAAAGUCACUCAUUUCCAAUAUCCCCUCUCGAGUGGCACCGUGAAACGGGCUGCAAACACAUUCCCUGAGCAUUCCUUGCUGAUACAGCCACUUUAUAUUUAUAUCCUACCGGAUGGUGGCAUAUUGCUGAGGUUUCCUGUAUUCUGCUUCAAAGGAAUAUAUGGUUUAUGAAAUUGGAACAUUUAGUCAGGAAAAAGAUUGUCUAAGAGGAUUAAUAGAGCCAGAGUCUGUAUUAGGAUAUAUGUCAUAUGUAUGUUUUAUAAACUGAGCAUUGGUGGGUUUCGAAUGUCAGCACAUUUCUUCUCCUUUUAUCUCUCAAGCUAACAUCAGUGAACACUGAAGAGAAGUCUUGGCUAUGACGAUUGGUGCCUCAGGGGGCCAAAUGUCCUGGGCAGAUCCUUAGAGCAUCUUUUGUUUGACUUCUAAAAAGGGGCACAUGUUAUUUAAUGGCUUUUGUUAUCAUAGUUCUGUCACUGACAUUGUAACUAUAGAUACUGUUGAUGGAGCAGCAGCACAGCCUAGAAAGAGGGAUUCUUACUGAAGUGUGGCAAUAGGAGAGGGUCCAUGUAGAAAGGACAAGGUAGACAGUGCAUGAUUUUAGGAAAAGGGUUGAAGGGAGGACGUGCUUCCAAAAAAGAUCUUUCUCAAUGUGUCGUCUGACUCAACCAGCUGGCAAAUUACACUUGCCAAUUCGUUCUCUUUCCUUCUAAGUCAGUUGGCUCCAUAUUCACUUGAAUAAUGCCUCUGCUUUGGGAAAGCAAGAUACCUCCAGUUAUCCUUUCUCCAAAGAAGCUCUUGAUGUCCCCUUGGUCACAAAGUUGUCUCCUACCCCAGCCAGUUUCACCAAAUGGAAGUACAGGGGCAUAAUCUAUAGAAGAUACCAGUGCAGUCAGCCACCACUGUGCCUUCCAUAUAAAGAGCCCAACUACAUAAACUAGGGAUGAGGUGGAACAGAUUACUAUUUCAUAAUUCCAAGAGUGUUGACCACGCGACGUUAGUUGUCAUCAUUUUAUGAGACCAGUUGGCUCCUUGGAGAAAGAGUGAUACUCUUCACCAAAAUUAUCUACUCUUCCUACUGAUGUUCUUUUCCUGGCUUUACCGUCUUCAAUUUCAACACUAGUCACUUUCUGUUAUUUAGACAAUCAGAUUUUAAUGCUGGAUAAGAGUUCAAAAAUCUCUGUGCAAUGUCAGAAGGCACAUUGGGGUACAGAGGAUUUCCUCCUUGGAAACCAGAUGGACUGGGGAAGAGAUAACAUGGCUUUGCUCCAGGUUUCAAUCUGAUGAUCGUGACUAUGAGAGAGAGUUUUAUAUAAAUAUUAAAUAGUAUUUAUAGGUGAAUAGAUCAAGGAGAAGGGACAGGGAAGAGCCAGGUUUUUCUAUGCUGAAUGUGCCUACUUAGAGCAAGAACUUCCCACCAAGUACAGUCAUAGCCCCGCCACGAUCAGCUGCUAGUCUGAAUAACCUUCCCUGAUUUAGGGAAAGCCACACAAAAUCAUAGCAGGAAUAUGCCCUUUUUCACACAUGUCAUCCUGACAGAUCCAGGAUAUUCAUAAAAAUAAAGGUUUCCCUUUGUUAUUUGAUUCUUAGCAAAUUGCAUUUCUCCACUACAUCAUGAACCAUCACUGACAUAUUCCCAAAUAGGCCACGUGGCUCCUUAUGAAAAUAAGAGAAUAAAACCUGUUAUAAGCAAGUGAUUUGGAUAUUUUCUUUUGUAUUUAUGCAUUAUCCAACUAUAUUAAAACAUGUUUCUAUUUACCUUCUAUCAAUUUUUUCUAUCAAUUAUGUUUUUCCAAUAAAUAUGAAAAUCAUAUUCUUUUCUGUAAAAGAACUGC